GAUGAACGCUGGCGGCGUGCCUAAUACAUGCAAGUCGAGCGAACGGACGAGAAGCUUGCUUCUCUGAUGUUAGCGGCGGACGGGUGAGUAACACGUGGAUAACCUACCUAUAAGACUGGGAUAACUUCGGGAAACUGGAGCUAAUACCGGAUAAUAUUUUGAACCGCAUGGUUUAAAAGUGAAAGACGGUCUUGCUGUCACUUAUAGAUGGAUUCGCGCUGCAUUAGCUAGUUGGUAAGGUAAAGGCUUACCAAGGCAACGAUGCAUAGCCGACCUGAGAGAGUCAUCGGCCACACUGGAACUGGGACACGAUCCACACUCCUACGGGAGGCAGCAGUAGGGAAUCUUCCGCAAUGGGCGAAAGCCUGACGGAUCAACGCCGCGUGAGUGAUGAAGGUCUUCGGAUCGUAAAACUCUGUUAUUAGGGAAGAACAUAUGUGUAAGUAACUGUGCACAUCUUGACGGUACCUAAUCAGAAAGCCACGGCUAACUACGUG
rnacentral:rRNA from 1 species